rnacentral:rRNA from 1 species
UACAGAGGAUGCAAGCGUUAUCCGGAAUGAUUGGGCGUAAAGCGUCUGUAGGUGGCUUUUUAAGUCCGCCGUCAAAUCCCAGGGCUCAACUCUGGACAGGCGGUGGAAACUACCAAGCUGGAGUACGGUAGGGGCAGAGGGAAUUUCCGGUGGAGCGGUGAAAUGCGUAGAUAUUGGAAAGACCACCAAUGGCGAAGGCACUCUACUGGGCCAUUACUGACACUGAGAGACGAAAGCUAGGGGAGCAAAUGGG